rnacentral:rRNA from 1 species
GACGAACGCUGGCGGCGUGCCUAACACAUGCAAGUCGAACGGUCCGGCACUCAACCGACCCUCAGUCUAACUGUAGGGGAAGUUAAGUGCCGGAUAGUGGCGGACGGGUGAGUAACGCGUGGGCAACCAACCCUGUACAGUGGGAUAACACCGGGAAACCGGUGCUAAUACCGCAUGACACCUAGAUGGUGCAUACUGUUUAGGUUAAAGGGCAAAACCGGUACGGGACGGGCCCGCGUCCCAUUAGCUGGUUGGUGAGAUAACGGCUCACCAAGGCGACGAUGGGUAGCCGACCUGAGAGGGUGGCCGGCCACACUGGGACUGAGACACGGCCCAGACUCCUACGGGGGCAGCAGUGGGGAAUCUUGCACAAUGGGCGAAAGCCUGAUGCAGCGACGCCGCGUGAGCGAAGAAGGCCUUCGGGUUGUAAAGCUCUGUCUGGAGGGACGAAGAAAGUGACGGUACCUCCGGAGGAAGCCACGGCUAACUACGUG